UUUAUUCCACCAUUUAUGACUGUAGCCUGCUGUUCUCUCUGACUGAUUCUAUUAUAAUCUUGGUCCACGCCCUCUCGCUGUCUCUCAGCCAUCCAGACUCUGCUGUACAUUCAGAGGAGAAGCAACACAAGGGACUCACAGGUUUUGAUAAUGGAGAAAGACUACAGAGCCCCUCCUUCUUUUCCUCAGAUGAAUCAGACAGGCGUAAACUUCCCUGGCCAGCAGGCCGUGUACCCACCACAAGCAGGUCCACAAGCUCCACCUUAUCAACCACCUCCUUAUGGG